AACUUUCAGCAAUGGAUCUCUUGGCUCUCGCAUCGAUGAAGAACGCAGCGAAAUGCGAUACGUAAUGUGAAUUGCAGGAUUCAGUGAAUCAUCGAAUCUUUGAACGCACCUUGCGCCCUUUGGCAUUCCGAGGGGCACACCCGUUUGAGUGUCGUGACAUUCUCAAAAACAUUCUUUGGUUUCUUGACCAGGAAGGCUUUUGGAUUUUGGAGGCUUUUGCUGGCCUUCCUUCGUUGAUGCCAGCUCCUCUGAAAUGAAUUAGUGCGGUCUGCUUUGCCUAUCCUUGCCGUGACAAGAUGUUUUCUACGUCUUGGGUUUUGCACUGUUCCUGCUUCUACCCGUCUCAUAGACGACAAUGGUCAAGUGAUUGCCACUUCACCCACAAACCUUGACCUCAAAUCGGGUGAGACUACCCGCUGAACUUAAGCAUAUCAAUAAGCGGAGGCU
rnacentral:misc_RNA from 1 species